GAAAGGUUGUACUGAGUCCGUAGU
rnacentral:piRNA from 1 species